rnacentral:rRNA from 1 species
UCCGUAGGUGAACCUGCGCGAAGGAUCAUUAACACGUAUCCAUUUCAACACCUGAAACUAACUGUGGUUCCUCUGCAGACGUUAACUCGGCUCAGAGUGUAACCGGGGGUGUCUAUCGGGGUUCAGCUCGGCUGGCCUUGGGUAGGCAUCAUCUGUUAACCUUACAACUUCAUUUAUUUCAUUGGAAAAGCUUGUAAUUUCUUUACAACUUUCAGCGAUGGAUCCCUCGGCUCGGGUAACGAUGAAGGACGCAGCAAAAUGCGAUAGGCGCUGUGAAUGGCAGAAUUCCGCGAAUCAAUAGAAUGCUGAACGCAUACUGCACUUUGAGGCCAUUCCUCAAAGUAUGCUUGGUUCAGGGCACUAAUACUAUACUGCAAUCUGCAUUGCCUGCUUUCGAGCUCGCUUGUUUAGAUUGUCGUUUCUGUGUGUCAGCGACGUGUUAAUUCCCGUUGACGCAUCAAAUGCAGUAGUUGGUUCUAACUAAGUUCAUUCGCUUGGUGCUGACCUCACGGUCUCUACUUCAGCGCGUGGUUUGGUUGGACGCGAUCGGCUACUUCAAAGCAACGUAAGGAUUUCGGUCCUUUUUGUUCGUGCAUGAACUCAAGUAAGGCUACCCGCUGAAUUUAAGCAUAUCAAUA